UGUUCGACCGGUCGCGACCCGUCUAGCCCA
rnacentral:misc_RNA from 1 species